UCAGAGGGCCGGGCGGCCGCGGCCUCCGCAUUGCGGGGGGCGAGGAAAGUCCGGGCUCCACGGAACGGCGAUGCCGGGUAACGCCCGGCGGCACCGGCUUUCAGCCGGGGUCAGGGAAAGUGCCACAGAGAGCAGACGGCGCAGGGGCUUCGGCCCCGAUGCUUCGGCAGCGUCACGGUGAAAGGGUGCGGCAAGAGCGCACCGCGCGCCCGGCAACGGGGGCGGCACGGCAAACCCCAUCGGGAGCAAGACCGAAUAGGGACGCCAUAUGGGCCUCGUUCCGGCCCGGCGUCCGGGUUGGUUGCUUGAGGCGGCGCGCAAGCGUCGUCCUAGAGGAAUGGCCGCCCAUCCCCGAAAGGGGUGGACAGAACCCGGCUUACAGGCCCUCUGACGCC
rnacentral:RNase_P_RNA from 1 species